rnacentral:sRNA from 1 species
UGCAGCUCAAACAGCGAGCUAUUAAUGAUAUAUUUAGUUCAAGAUCUUCUCAGUUUCCUUUCGAUUCAGUUCGUCAUAUCUAUCCUGCGAUACCUUUUUCUUCAUUCCAGAUUUAGUAGCUUUCAUUUUUAACUUAUCAAUGUAUCGAGAUAUAUAUGUCAAAUAAAACAACUGGUUCAGUAAAAUGGUUUAACGAGUCAAAAGGCUUUGGUUUUAUCACUCCAGACAAUGGUGGCGCAGAUGUGUUUGUUCAUUUCAACGCUAUUGUGUCAGAGGGCUUCAAAACGCUAGCUGAAGGCCAAAAAGUAAGCUUUACCGUAGAGCAGGGCAACAAAGGCCCACAAGCUGCGGCCGUUACUUUCGCGUAACCAACACUGUAUAGCGAGAACUCGUUUAUGGCCUAGAUCCUAGUUAUGGCGAGUUCUUUCUU